rnacentral:rRNA from 1 species
UAGGGAAUAUUGGACAAUGGGGGCAACCCUGAUCCAGCCAUGCCGCGUGAGUGAAGAAGGCCCUCGGGUUGUAAAGCUCUUUUGUCCGGAAAGAAAAGCAUCGGGUUAAUACCCCGGGGUUCUGACGGUACCGGAAGAAUAAGCACCGGCUAAAUUCGUGCCAGCAGCCGCGGUAAUACGAAGGGUGCAAGCGUUACUCGGAAUUACUGGGCGUAAAGCGUGCGUAGGUGGUUGUUUAAGUCUGAUGUGAAAGCCCUGGGCUCAAGCUGGGAAUGGCAUUGGAAACUGGGCAGCUGGAGUGCUGUAGAGGGUAGUGGAUUACCCGGUGGAGCCGUGAAAUGCGUAGAGAUCGGGAGGAACAUCUGUGGCGAAGGCGACUGCCUGGACCAGCACUGACACUGAGGCACGAAAGCGUGGGGAGCAAA